rnacentral:tRNA from 1 species
GUUAGCGUGGCAGAACUCGGCUAUGCAAAAGGCCUAAGCCCUUUUCUUAGGGGUUCAAAUCCCCUCACUAACU